UGCGUUUCACAAAGUCUCAACUCAUUUCGUCGGGAGUGGUGAGUGACGAGCCCUAGCUCCACAUCUGGUCUCCCUCUCUCAAAAUCUCACAACUCUCGUCGCCGCCGCCGCAGCGCACCGCACGGAAGCACCCACGGAGAUGAAGAAGGGAGUCCAUCCACAGAAGCAAUGGAUAUCCUACGUUACUCAAACGGGUAGGUUGAUGCAUGUGAUGAUGACAAAGAUACACCCUGUUGGGAAAGUUUACCACUUCCGGGCUAAGCGUCAAAUGGCCGAGAGUUUAGGACAGAUUGCCAAGUUCAGACGCCGCUUCGGGCUAGAAAAUUCAGAGGGCAAUGAAAAAAAAUGACUUGUUCAAUGAGCAUAGGGGACUUCGGCUUUUUAUUUUGUGCAAAUUGCUGGAAAAUAACUGACAAAUUGGUGAUACUCUCAAGCAGGUUUUUUUUUUAAGCAUUCAAUAUCUGUAGUUUAACUGCAGAAGCGUUUCCUUCUUCAGUUCAUAUUAAGUGAUGUCUUUGGCAGUUGAUAUUUGCUUGUGUGUUUAUUUAGUGCAAGUUCAAGCUGAGGUUUUUUGUUUGCACUUCUGGAUAUUACUGAAAUAGAAACUUUGUGUUGAAGGAUCAAGUGAAUAGUUUGAAUUGAAUAAUCAUAUCGAGUGAUUUUUUAUCCAA